AAAGGCUUGGUCCUGACUUUGCCAUCAACUUUAACUAGAUUUACACAUGCAAGUAUCCGCACCCCCGUGAGAAUGCCCCAUAACCUCCUGAAUUGGAGAUGAGGAGCUGGUAUCAGGCACAAUUAUUUUAGCCCACGACGCCUUGCUUGGCCACACCCCCAAGGGAAUUCAGCAGUGACAAACAUUAAGCCAUGAGUGAAAACUUGACUUAGUUAGUGUUAACAGGGCCGGUAAAUCUCGUGCCAGCCACCGCGGUUAUACGAGAGACCCAAGUCGAUGGCCUUCGGCGUAAAGCGUGGUUAGGACAAACCUAAAACUAAAGAUAAACGAUUUCAAAGCUGUUAUACGCUCAUGAAAAUCUGAAGAUCAACUACGAAAGUGACUUUAAAAUCCUGACCCCACGAAAGCUAUGGUACAAACUGGGAUUAGAUACCCCACUAUGCUUAGCCCUAAACUUAGAUAUUAAUCUACUUAUUUUAUCCGCCUGGGAACUACGAGCAUCAGCUUAAAACCCAAAGGACUUGGCGGUGCUUUAGAUCCACCUAGAGGAGCCUGUUCUAGAACCGAUAAUCCCCGUUAAACCUCACCUUUCCUUGUCUUUAUCCGCCUAUAUACCGCCGUCGUCAGCUUACUCUGUGAAGACCCCAUAGUAGGCACAAUCGGCACAGCCCAAAACGCCAGGUCGAGGUGUAGCGUAUGGAAAGGGAAGAAAUGGGCUACAUUCAGUAAAUUAAUGCAUACGGAUGACAUCCUGAAAAAGAUGUCUGAAGGAGGAUUUAGCAGUAAGUAGAGAAUAGAGUGCUCUACUGAAUCUGGCCCUGAAGCGCGCACACACCGCCCGUCACUCUCCCCGAGCUAAUAAAAGCACAUAAUUAAUAAACCAGACCUGCAAAGGGGAGGCAAGUCGUAACAUGGUAAGUGUACCGGAAGGUGCACUUGGGAGAACU
rnacentral:ncRNA from 1 species